GACGAACGCUGGCGGCGUGCUUAACACAUGCAAGUCGAACGGAAAGGCCCUGCUUUUGUGGGGUGCUCGAGUGGCGCACGGGUGUGUAACACGUGAGUAUCCCGCCCUUGACUUUGGGAUAACUUCAGGAAACUGGGGCUAAUACCGGAUAGGAGCUCCUGCUGCAUGGUGGGCGUUGGAAAGUUUCGGCGGUUGGGGAUGGACUCGCGGCUUAUUAGCUUGUUGGUGGGGUAGUGGCUUACCAAGGCUUUGACGGGUAGCCUGCCUGAGAGGGGGACCAGCGACAUGGGGACUGAGGUAGGGACCAGAAGGGAACGGGAGGCAGCGGUGGGGAGUAUUGCACAGUGAGCGGAAGCGUGAUGCGGAGACGCCGGGAGCGGGAUGACGGGCUUCGGGUGAUAAACCGCUGUCGCCUGUGACGAAGCGUGAGUGACGGUAAUGGGUAAAGAAGCACCGGCUAACUACGUG
rnacentral:rRNA from 1 species